GGCUCCUGUGGCCUAGUCGUUGGAGCCUCCGUCCUGGAUGCGGGAGGUCGCGGGUUCAAUCCCCGGCCGAGCCA